rnacentral:rRNA from 1 species
GUCCUUUUGAGUUUAAUUUAAGGUCUGACCUGCCCACUGAAAUUUUUUGAAGGGCCGCAGUAAUUUGACUGUGCAAAGGUAGCAUAAUCAUUAGUUUUUUAAUUGAAAGCUUGUAUGAAGGGUUGGACGAGGUAAAUUCUGUCUCUAUUUAAUUUUAUAUAGAAUUUAAUUUUUAAGUUAAAAAGCUUAAAUUUUUUUAAAAGACGAGAAGACCCUAUAGAUCUUUAUAUUAAAAGUAUUAAUUUUAAUUAAGAAUAUUUAAUUUUUUAGUAUUUAUAAUAUUUUAUUGGGGUAAUGAAAAGAUUAAAUUAAUUCUUUUUUUAUUUUAACAUUUAUUUAUGAUUAUAUGAUCCAAUUUUAUUGAUUAAAAGAUUAAGUUACCUUAGGGAUAACAGCGUAAUUUUUUUAGAGAGUUCAUAUCGAUAAAAAAGUUUGCGACCUCGAUGUUGGAUUAAAAAUUAUCUUAGGUGCAGAAGUUUAAGAUUUUGGUCUGUUCGACCAUUAAAUUUUU